rnacentral:rRNA from 1 species
UACGUAGGGUGCGAGCGUUGUCCGGAAUUACUGGGCGUAAAGAGCUCGUAGGUGGUUUGUCGCGUUGUUCGUGAAAUCUCACGGCUUAACUGUGAGCGUGCGGGCGAUACGGGCAGACUGGAGUACUGCAGGGGAGACUGGAAUUCCAGGUGUAGCGGUGAAAUGCGCAGAUAUCGGGAGGAACACCGGUGGCGAAGGCGGUUCUCUGGGCCUGACCUGACGCUGAGGAGCGAAAGCGUGGGGAGCGAACAGG